rnacentral:lncRNA from 1 species
CAAAGCUGCAAUAAAUAUAAAUUGAUAACUAAUAUUUAAGGCAAAACAAGCUUCAAUAUUUAAUAACUUGAAAAAGAAAUUAAAAGGUCUUAAUGGAUACAUACUAUCAAAAUAAGGGGGAAUAUCUAGCACAUCAAAAAUUCACAUAUAUAAAUAUGUAGCUACGUGUAUGAUUGAUUUGUAGGUGCUUCAAAUUACUUUAAUAACUAUCAAUUUCUUUAUAUAAUUAAUUAUUUUUAAUGCAAUUUAUCUCUCCUCCUUUUAAAAUUGAACUAUUAGUAGAAUAAUCUCUUAAAGCAAACACUAGUCAAAAUUAUAUAUAUUAGCUCGUGAAUCCUAAUGUGUUUCAUUUACACCGUGAUUU